rnacentral:tRNA from 1 species
GGGCUAUUAGCUCAGUGGUUAGAGCGUACCCUGAUAAGGGUAAGGUCCCAGGUUCAACUCUUGGAUGGCCCA